UCCGGGCUUGAAACCUCUAUUCGCAACACGGGAACGAAUCCCCCUGUGUCGCGUACUUCCCAGAAGAAAGUCACCCGGUUAAAUCGCGGUCCCCAGACGGCCGGCGAUAAUGCGUAGGGUAGCGAACCGUGAUCACGAAAUUAUGGAGCAUAAAGAAGUUAAUAGACGGCCUGGUCACGUAGAGUUGUAAAGCCCCAGAGCUUACCCUGGGUCUCCUUUCGAUAACGCGCAGAUUAGAUUUCGACAGGGGAGACUGAAUUCCCUGUGUAGCGGUGGAAUGCGCAGUAUAUCAGGAGAGAACACCGGUGGCGAAGGCGGGUUUCUGGCGCGAUACUGGCGUUGAGGAGCGAAAGCGUGGGGAGCGAACAAGAUUAGAUCCCCUGGUAGUUCACGCUGUAAGCGGUGCACACUAGGUGUGGGGGGCAUUACAUGUCGUCCGUGCCGUAGAUAACGCAUAAAGUGCCCCACGUGGGGAGUACGGCCGCAAGUCUAAAUCUCAAAGGAAUUGACGGGGGCCCGCACAAGCGGCGGAGCAUGUGGCUUAAUUAGACGCAACGCGAAGAACCUUCACAAGGCUUGACAUGCAUCGGAAACCACUGGAGACAGUGGCCCUCUUUGAGUCGGUGUACAGGUGGUGCAUGGCUGUUGUCAGCUCGUGUCGUGAGAUGUUGGGUUAAGUCCCGCAACGAGCGCAACCCUUGUCCUGUGUUGCCAGCAACCUCUUCGGAGGGUUGGGGACUCACGGGAGACUGCCGGGGUCAACUCGGAGGAAGGUGGGGACGACGUCAAGUCAUCAUGCCCCUUAUGUCUUGGGCUGCACACGUGCUACAAUGGCCGGUACAAUGAGCUGCGAUGCCGUAAGGUGGAGCGAAUCUCAAAAAGCCGGUCUCAGUUCGGAUUGGGGUCUGCAACUCGACCCCAUGAAGUCGGAGUCGCUAGUAAUCGCAGAUCAGCAUUGCUGCGGUGAAUACGUUCCCGGGCCUUGUACACACCGCCCGUCACGUCACGAAAGUCGGUAACACCCGAAGCCGGUGGCCUAACCCCUUGUGGGAGGGAGCUGUCGAAGGUGGGACUGGCGAUUGGACGAAGUCGAACAAGAGCCAGUCAGGG
rnacentral:rRNA from 1 species